UGGGGAAUAUUGGACAAUGGGGGAAACCCUGAUCCAGCGAUGCCGCGUGGGUGAAGAAGGCCUUCGGGUUGUAAAGCCCUUUAGGUUGGGAAGAAGUGCAGUAGUUUAAGAGAUAAUUGCAUUGACGGUACCAACAAAAUAAGCACCGGCAAACUCUGUGCCAGCAGCCGCGGUAAUACAGAGGGUGCGAGCGUUAAUCGGAUUUACUGGGCGUAAAGGGCGCGUAGGCGGUUAUAUCAGUGUUAUGUGAAAGCCCUGGGCUUAACCUAGGAAGUGCAUAGCAAACAAUAUAGCUAGAGUAGAUGAGAGGGUGAUGGAAUUUCCGGUGUAGCGGUGAAAUGCGUAGAGAUCGGAAGGAACAUCGAUGGCGAAGGCAAUCACCUGGCAUCAUACUGACGCUGAGGCGCGAUAGCGUGGGGAGCAAACAGG
rnacentral:rRNA from 1 species